AGCACAUGCUCAAUCACAUUUCAUGAAAUUACAAAGAAAUUCAUUGCAAGGAUAUUCAUAGUAUAUCCUUAAGCAUCAAUUUUGUUCAGAUUAGGACCAAUGACUCAAGUGAUCCAGGUCAUUUAUCUGAUAUGCCCGGAGUUGAUAGACCAUGUCUCAGGAAUUUCCCAGAUUGGAUAAUCCUAGCCAUACAACCUCUGGUCCUUUUGCCAUCAUGAGUGGACCAUUGCUGUAUUUUUUUUUCUAACUUUCUAUUCGUGGACCACCAAUCAAAGGGUUUGGGUUGUACGGGUGAUUUUGGUGCGUCCCCUAUCCAAGUUGGGUACCAUCAGAUCAACAGUUUGGAUCACCAUCUUUCCUUAUACAGCCAUAUUGACUCAAGCCACAAGGAUACACCAUGCAUAUCCUCAACAAGUGAAAACAGAUUUAUCAGUGUGUUUGGUUGCAUGAAAUACAUGAUAUUUCAUCAUUAAUCAGUCUAAUUCGAUGCUAAUUUUCAUGGGAUUUCAUGAAAUUCGGUUCAACCAAAACAAUUCUUAUAAACUGUUCAGAAGGAAUAAUUAAAAGAUUUUUUUGUAAUUACUCGUAGAUGAAAGAAAUAUGAAGCUUUUUUCUCAUUUGAGAAUAUGAAUAGUGACCCAAACCUGAAAUAGUACAAGACAACAUUUCAAACCAUUUUAGCCCUACGCUAACAUAUGUGUGAUGGAAUAACUCCAAAUGUCCAAUGGCUGAUCAUUAACCAAUUACAGAUUAAAAUUUCAUCAUUUUCGUCAACUAUGGGCCAUCGAUAUGGUGGCUCACAGGAUUGACGAUCCUGAUUACAAUAUUUGUGGUUAGAAAUCCUAUCAUCUUUGAUCAUUCAAAGGAGUCUUUGUAUCUUUUCUGAAUUACUGACUAACAUAAACCUCUGAUAGAAAAUAAGGCAACGAAAACAUAACUAUCCAACACAAGAAUUCCACGAUGAAUUUAUAUGAAUCUCUAGUGAAAAUAUGCAGUUUCCUUGAGCUUGGCGGGGCCCACCAAUCAGACAGUCAGAUUGCGACUAUCACGCAAGAGUAGUAUGUUAAUAUCUGAGGCUCUUGGAGAGGUUGUGAUCUCCUGAAACUGUUGCAUGGGAGCUCUCGGUGAUUAAUGGAAGUUCUUGAUCAGAUCGUCUUCAUUUCCAUUGAUGUCUUUCUGGCUUUUGUGAUUGCCAGUCACAACAUCAAUGAACAACUUGGCAAAAAUCUCACCGAUCAUAGAUCCUCGCCAUCCAUGCAGAGCUGGAUUAGAAACAACAUUCGCAAUUUCAACUAAUAAUAGGAGAUGAGAUUCGCCAAGUACUAGUAAUUUCACAAGUAGACCACCUGUAGUGGGACCUAGUAGAUGAACGGUUCUGAUUGCCACGAUGGUGGGAUAGAAAGGAAAAGUUCUAAGUGAUUGAAGAUCGCGUCGAUGGUUGAAAGAUACAAAGAAAGAGGUCUGUUAAUUCCACACGCCAGGACCCUUGUACAAGAAUUGAGCUUUCCAUCUGGUUAGAACAAUGAUUAGAUCUGAAAUAAACAGAGAUUGGGACCAUUGAUCAGUGUCCAAAAGAUGAGGAAAGCAGUCUCUUGAGAUUGGGUAUCACUUGGAGAUUUGCUCUUCCUGACCGUAAGAUUUUCUUUAGUAUUUCUCGUGAUUUUCUAGUGUUUUCUCCAGUAUGUUGCAAUGGAGUUGCUAAUCCCCUCUAUAAACUCUGAUGGACAUUCCCAA